AGCUAAUAUAGCUCUUUUAAAAUUUUUCUAGCUUUCUGACUUUAGUCAGAAAACCU
ensembl:snRNA LOC120098347 U7 small nuclear RNA